ACGUCACCCGAUGCCCUGGUGUCAUAUCCUCCACUGGUACACCAGCAUGGCCUGCUGGUAUCGACGCUGGGACUCCAGUUCACGGUGACAAGCCACCACUUCCUCGACGGCAGCAUGAAUCUUCGCUGCGUGGCGAGUGUCUCGCCGAUACUGUGGCAAGGAGACCGCGAGAGUGUCGUACAAAGAGUGUCGCCACUAAUAGAAAAGAACAUCCGAGAGGCCCUGCUACUAGUGAAAGGGUCCUCGAGCCAGUGCAGUGCCUCUGUCGUCAUCGUUGCGGCUAUGACGUCACUCCUACUCUCCACAUGACUUAAUCAUCGUCAUCUGUAAUCAGUGCUAACUACCACAGCGCACGGAGCUUGAAUCGCAUCGGUUUCCGGGACUUCAAAAAAUUGACUUUACCCGUUCUAAUUGCUGACGAGUCUCCUAAAUACUGAAAAGUACGUAAUCAGCAUUUCAGCAAUCUGUAAAGAGGUCUCCAUUGAGCGGAGGCUUUCGUUUCAAUGUAACGCUCAUGUGCUAUUCAGUAUGAGCGGUUAUCGCGUGUUCGUGCAGAGAGUUUCGUAUAUGAAGAAGCAACAUAACGACACCACGAAGAAUGUAAAGCAAACAGUAUGCUGGCGGGUUCGGUGAGGAAGACUGAACAGUACGAAGCUUGACAAUUAUGUUGGGAGCAAUAUAUCUGAAUUCCUUAUUUUCUCCAACGAGUCCCAUCUGUUGGGUGUAAACCAGACUCAUCUGCAGCGUUAACUCAUAGGACAAUCGAUCAUUAAGGACACAGACGUUUUAAGAGCCGAGGAUUUUGGUACUUUCUUAAGGUGUUUCGACUUCAAAGAAGAGAAAAUGGAAUGUUUGCUACCAAACGUGAAAUGAAAGUGUACUCACAUGUGAUGGUUGUGUGUGUGUGUGUCUGUGUGUGAGCCAUAUGCUUCAGACACUAAACUCCUGAAUAACUCUUUCCACAACAGCGUGUGUGAUAUUUUCUCAACAUGUGAAUAAAACUGAUGACUUGCUCGGAAAUGUGUGUGAUGUCAGUUACACUUAAAACAAUUGUAUAUCAUCAGAAGAAACAUAAUCUAUCAAAAGAACCUAUUAUUUUAUGUGUUUCAAUGAAAAUGUAUAAAACCUCUAUUUUAAACUUAUCAUAUAAUGACAUUACCUGAAUUAUAGGUCUAAUAUAACGAGAUUAUAAAAACAAAUGCCGACGUAAAAUGAUCGACACAAUUUAAUUUUAAAAUAUUAUAAAUCAUGUCAAAGGAAUAUGAAUCAGGCAGAGUAAAAAUAUAUCUGGGAUAAUUGAAAGAAAAUUAUUUUGAUUGCGGAUUAAUAAAAAUAUAUGCUGUAUUUCCUCGAUCAUCUUAAUAAAGGAAUGGAAAUUAAUUUAAAGAAUAUUCCCAAAUGAAUUUAAAUUAACCCUUUAAAGAUUGAAAUUCUCCUAACAGGAAAC